UAAUAAACUAAUUUUUUAAAUCGGAUAAUUAUAAGUUAUGGUCUUUAAAAUUAAAAAAUUUGGCGGUAUUUUAGUCUAUUCAGAGGAACCUGUUUUUGAAAUGAUAGUCCACGAUUUAAUUUACUUAAAUUUUAAAUUUGUAUAUCGUCGUUUUUAAAUAUUUUUAAAAAAAUAAUAUUUAAGAUUUAGAAUAAUAAAAUAUGUCAGAUCAAGGUAUAGUUUAUAUUUAAGUUAAAAUGGGUUACAAUAAAUUUAUUUUUGGAAUAAUAAUUUAAAAUUAUUAUGAAAUUGGAUUUGAUAGUAAAUUUAAUAAAUUUUUUAAAUUGAUUUAAGCUCUAAAAUAUG
rnacentral:rRNA from 1 species